AGCGAACGCUGGCGGCAGGCCUAACACAUGCAAGUCGAACGAACCCUCCGGGGUUAGUGGCGGACGGGUGAGUAACACGUGGGAACGUGCCUUUAGGUUCGGAAUAACUCAGGGAAACUUGUGCUAAUACCGAAUGUGCCCUUCGGGGGAAAGAUUUAUCGCCUUUAGAGCGGCCCGCGUCUGAUUAGCUAGUUGGUGAGGUAAUGGCUCACCAAGGCUACGAUCAGUAGCUGGUCUGAGAGGAUGACCAGCCACAUUGGGACUGAGACACGGCCCAAACUCCUACGGGAGGCAGCAGUGGGGAAUCCUGCGCAAUGGGCGAAAGCCUGACGCAGCCAUGCCGCGUGGAUGAUGAAGGUCUUAGGAUUGUAAAAUCCUUUCACCGGUGAAGAUAAUGACUGUAGCCGGAGAAGAAGCCCCGGCUAACUUCGUGCCAGCCGCCGCCGUAA
rnacentral:rRNA from 1 species